rnacentral:tRNA from 2 species
CGGGGUGUAGUUCACCGGUAGAACGCUCGGUUUGGGACCGAGAAGUAGGAGGUUCAACUCCUCCCACCCCGACCA